AUACGGAGGGUGCGAGCGUUAAUCGGAAUUACUGGGCGUAAAGCGUACGUAGGCGGUUGGUUAAGUUAGAUGUGAAAGCCCCGGGCUUAACCUGGGAACUGCAUUUAAAACUGGCGUACUAGAGUUGAGUAGAGGGGAGUGGAAUUUCAGGUGUAGCGGUGAAAUGCGUAGAGAUCUGAAGGAACACCAGUGGCGAAGGCGACUCCCUGGACUCGAACUGACGCUGAGGUACGAAAGCGUGGGUAGCAAACGGGAUUAGAAACCCCAGUAGUCC
rnacentral:rRNA from 1 species